GGGGCCGUAGCUCAGUUGGGAGAGCGCUUGCAUGGCAUGCAAGAGGUCGAGGGUUCGACUCCCUUCGGCUCCA
rnacentral:tRNA from 3 species